rnacentral:lncRNA from 1 species
AGCUACCCUUCAGUUACUCUUCCUGUCUGGAGGUCAAAUUCAGCAGAUUACUUUACAAGGUGUGGUUUUGACUAUGCCAUGUCUCCUUACUGUGACUGGACUGCAGAGGGCCUAACCAGAAGCCGAACUGGACCUGGGAAAUUCUACCUCUCAAUGGAUCUUCUGAAUCCAUCGGGUGUGGCUCGAAUAAAGAGCAGGAUUCUGAAUUCUCCUGAAGAUUCAUGUCUAGAGUUCUGGUACUACAAACCCAGUCAGGACAGCUCAGAACUGCGAGUCCUGCUCAGUGAUGAUGUUCUACAAACAGAAAUCUGGAGUUCUCUGACUGCUAAGAGCCAUUCCUGGAGACAAGUGUUCCUUCCUUUGAGCAAGUUGCAACUGAAUGGCGCACAGGUAUAGAAAGUGCCACUUUUUUAAUAUUUGUCAACUGAAAGUAUUUGCCUAAAAAUGGCA